rnacentral:rRNA from 1 species
GAUGAACGCUAGCGAUAGGCUUAACACAUGCAAGUCGAGGGGCAGCACAAGGUAGCUUGCUAUCUGGGUGGCGACCGGCGCACGGGUGCGUAACGCGUAUGCAACUUGCCCUAUACAGGAGGAUAACCCGUCGAAAGACGGACUAAUACUGCGUAUGCUCACAACUUGGCAUCAAGUGGUGAGGAAAGAAAUUCGGUAUAGGAUAGGCAUGCGUCCCAUUAGCUUGUUGGUGAGGUAACGGCUCACCAAGGCAACGAUGGGUAGGGGAACUGAGAGGUUUAUCCCCCACACGGGUACUGAGACACGGACCAGACUCCUACGGGAGGCAGCAGUGAGGAAUAUUGGUCAAUGGGCGCGAGCCUGAACCAGCCAAGUCGCGUGAAGGAUGACUGUCUUAUGGAUUGUAAACUUCUUUUAGACGGGAAUAACAAGAGUCACGUGUGACUCCCUGCAUGUACCGUAUGAAUAAGCAUCGGCUAACUCCGUG